GAUGAACGCUGGCGGCGUGCUUAACACAUGCAAGUCGAACGGGAAUUAUUUUAUUGAAACUUCGGUCGGUUUCAUUUACUUCUAGUGGCGGCCGGGGGAGUAACGCGUGGGUAACCUGCCUUAUACAGGGGGAUAACAGUCAGAAAUGGCUGCUAAUACCGCAUAAGCGCACAGAGCUGCAUGGCUCAGUGGGUAAAAGUCGGGUGGUAUAAGAUGGACCCGCGUUGGAUUAGCUGGUUGGUGGGGUAACGGCCGACCAAGGCGACGAACCAUAGCCGGCAUGAGAGGCGGAACGGCCACAUUGGGACUGAGACACGGCCCAGACUCCUACGGAAGGCAGCAGUGGGGAAUAUUGCACAAUGGGGGAAACCCUGAUGCAGCGACGCCGCGUGAAGGAAGAAGUAUCUCGGUAUGUAAACUUCUAUCAGCAGGGAAGAUAGUGACGGUACCUGACUAAGAAGCCCCGGCUAACUACGUG
rnacentral:rRNA from 1 species